UACGAAGGGGGCUAGCGUUGCUCGGAAUCACUGGGCGUAAAGGGUGCGUAGGCGGGUCUUUAAGUCAGGGGUGAAAUCCUGGAGCUCAACUCCAGAACUGCCUUUGAUACUGAAGAUCUUGAGUUCGGGAGAGGUGAGUGGAACUGCGAGUGUAGAGGUGAAAUGCGCAGAUAUCGGGAAGAACACCCGUGGCGAAGGCGGCUCUCUGGGACGGUACUGACGCUGAGACGCGAAAGCGUGGGGAGCGAACAGG
rnacentral:rRNA from 1 species